rnacentral:lncRNA from 1 species
GUAAAAACUUUCAACUAUUUCUAUUUCUUCUGUGUCAUUUAAGAGGCUUUCAAGGUGCACUGUACCUCUCAGACCAGAUCUUACUCAUAGAGGAAAUCUGAUCUGCUGCAGCACGGAAACAUCAGCAGUGAGAUGGCGCGACAAAAUCCUUAGGGAACUGUCUGUAAGUCUGGUCAACAUUUAAGAUGAAAAGUUUUGCAUUUUCUUUGGCAGGAUGUUACAUGCAGAGUUUAGCUGUAUGAGGCAAUUGCUGAGGCAAUAAGGGAAUAUUCAGGAACACAAGCUUUGAGUAGGUGAGUAAGCACAAAGGCAGAAAUAAUCUUGUUAGGAUUUUUUCUUUCUUCCCUGCCCCACCCCCUAAAUUCUGAAAAACCUUAUUGGUCGUUGAGACUUGCUAAAUCAUGCCCAAUUGAAACCGUGUUCUCCUAGAAUCCUGGAUACACCAAAUAGACCCCACUUUAGGGCUACAAUGGUUCAGCAGUUGAAAGAUGUGAGAAUAAGCCUUUUGUACUUUUGUUGCUUCACCUUGUGACAGUCAAGCAGGGCAGGGAUCAAAGGGAAAUCCCCCUGGGACACAGGCAGUGGUGAGAGAUAGGGUAGGAAACUGGAUAAGUAAGCACUGAAAUGGUGAGGAUGAGACCAAAAAAAAGGCAAACUGGUAGUACAAACUCGGGGUAGAUGACAGAGGGUGGGAUCUGGACAGCAGUUAACAGGAGGAAGAGGGACUUAGGGUUACAUGCUACUGAUGAUGAAAGUGG